UUURUUURAYAUAGAUAGUAAAUUUCUAYUUUAAAAUCAUUAUUAUUUGGCGGCAUUUUUAAYUUAGGGGAACCUGUUUAKUAAUCGACACUCCCCRUUAAUUCUAACUUUAUAUAAAAUUUUAUAUAUCACCAUCUUGAAUUGAUUUUUAACAUUUAGAUCUAAAAAUAAUUCUAAUAAGUUAGGUAAAGAUGUAGACUAUUAUAAAGAUUAAAUGGGUUACAUUAAAAAAAUUUAUAGRAAUUYUWACAAAAAUUUUUUUUAAAAUAGGACUUAAUAGUAAUUUAUAAAUAAUAUUURUAAUUGAAUUAUUUUAAAAAUGUGC
rnacentral:rRNA from 1 species